AUUGCUCGUCAGGCGGCAGUCCGUACACCUUUGCCAUACCAUAGUUGUUGCCUCGGCGGAUCAGCCCGCUCCCGGUAAAACGGGACGGCCCGCCAGAGGACCCCUAAACUCUGUUUCUAUAUGUAACUUCUGAGUAAAACCAUAAAUAAAUCAAAACUUUCAACAACGGAUCUCUUGGUUCUGGCAUCGAUGAAGAACGCAGCAAAAUGCGAUAAGUAAUGUGAAUUGCAGAAUUCAGUGAAUCAUCGAAUCUUUGAACGCACAUUGCGCCCGCCAGUAUUCUGGCGGGCAUGCCUGUUCGAGCGUCAUUUCAACCCUCAAGCCCUCGGGUUUGGUGUUGGGGAUCGGCGAGCCCUUGCGGCAAGCCGGCCCCGAAAUCUAGUGGCGGUCUCGCUGCAGCUUCCAUUGCGUAGUAGUAAAACCCUCGCAACUGGUACGCGGCGCGGCCAAGCCGUUAAACCCCCAACUUCUGAAUGUUGACCUCGGAUCAGGUAGGAAUACCCGCUGAACUUAAGCAUAUCAAAGCGGGAAGGAAA
rnacentral:rRNA from 1 species